rnacentral:rRNA from 1 species
UUUUUUUUUUUUUUUUUUUUUUUCUUUCUCAGAGAACGCGGCGGCGUGCCUAAUACAUGCAAGUCGAACGAACUCUGGUAUUGAUUGGUGCUUGCAUCAUGAUUUACAUUUGAGUGAGUGGCGAACUGGUGAGUAACACGUGGGAAACCUGCCCAGAAGCGGGGGAUAACACCUGGAAACAGAUGCUAAUACCGCAUAACAACUUGGACCGCAUGGUCCGAGCUUGAAAGAUGGCUUCGGCUAUCACUUUUGGAUGGUCCCGCGGCGUAUUAGCUAGAUGGUGGGGUAACGGCUCACCAUGGCAAUGAUACGUAGCCGACCUGAGAGGGUAAUCGGCCACAUUGGGACUGAGACACGGCCCAAACUCCUACGGGAGGCAGCAGUAGGGAAUCUUCCACAAUGGACGAAAGUCUGAUGGAGCAACGCCGCGUGAGUGAAGAAGGGUUUCGGCUCGUAAAACUCUGUUGUUAAAGAAGAACAUAUCUGAGAGUAACUGUUCAGGUAUUGACGGUAUUUAACCAGAAAGCCACGGCUAACUACGUGCCAGCAGCCGCGGUAAUACGUAGGUGGCAAGCGUUGUCCGGAUUUAUUGGGCGUAAAGCGAGCGCAGGCGGUUUUUUAAGUCUGAUGUGAAAGCCUUCGGCUCAACCGAAGAAGUGCAUCGGAAACUGGGAAACUUGAGUGCAGAAGAGGACAGUGGAACUCCAUGUGUAGCGGUGAAAUGCGUAGAUAUAUGGAAGAACACCAGUGGCGAAGGCGGCUGUCUGGUCUGUAACUGACGCUGAGGCUCGAAAGUAUGGGUAGCAAACAGGAUUAGAUACCCUGGUAGUCCAUACCGUAAACGAUGAAUGCUAAGUGUUGGAGGGUUUCCGCCCUUCAGUGCUGCAGCUAACGCAUUAAGCAUUCCGCCUGGGGAGUACGGCCGCAAGGCUGAAACUCAAAGGAAUUGACGGGGGCCCGCACAAGCGGUGGAGCAUGUGGUUUAAUUCGAAGCUACGCGAAGAACCUUACCAGGUCUUGACAUACUAUGCAAAUCUAAGAGAUUAGACGUUCCCUUCGGGGACAUGGAUACAGGUGGUGCAUGGUUGUCGUCAGCUCGUGUCGUGAGAUGUUGGGUUAAGUCCCGCAACGAGCGCAACCCUUAUUAUCAGUUGCCAGCAUUAAGUUGGGCACUCUGGUGAGACUGCCGGUGACAAACCGGAGGAAGGUGGGGAUGACGUCAAAUCAUCAUGCCCCUUAUGACCUGGGCUACACACGUGCUACAAUGGAUGGUACAACGAGUUGCGAACUCGCGAGAGUAAGCUAAUCUCUUAAAGCCAUUCUCAGUUCGGAUUGUAGGCUGCAACUCGCCUACAUGAAGUCGGAAUCGCUAGUAAUCGCGGAUCAGCAUGCCGCGGUGAAUACGUUCCCGGGCCUUGUACACACCGCCCGUCACACCAUGAGAGUUUGUAACACCCAAAGUCGGUGGGGUAACCUUUUAGGAACCAGCCGCCUAAGGUGGGACAGAUGAUUAGGGUGAAGUCU